AUGCAAGUCGAGCGAGAAAGCGGGGCAACUCGUGAGUAAAGCGGUGUACGGGUGAGUAACACGUGGAUGAUCUACCCUCUAGUGGGGAAUAACCCUGGGAAACCGGGGCUAAUACCGCAUAAGCACGAGAGUGGAAAGCAGCAAUGCGCUGGAGGAGGAGUCCGCGGCCGAUUAGCUAGUUGGCAGGGUAAAAGCCUACCAAGGCAAAGAUCGGUAGCCGGCCUGAGAGGGCACACGGCCACACUGGCACUGAAACACGGGCCAGACUCCUACGGGAGGCAGCAGUGGGGAAUCUUGCACAAUGGGGGAAACCCUGAUGCAGCGACGCCGCGUGAGCGAUGAAGCCCUUCGGGGUGUAAAGCUCUUUCGGCAGGGAAGAUGAUGACGGUACCUGCAGAAGCAGCUGCGGCUAACUACGUGCCAGCAGCCGCGGUAAUACGUAGGCAGCAAGCGUUGUUCGGAGUUACUGGGCGUAAAGGGUGUGUAGGCGGUUGUUUAAGUUUGGUGUGAAAUCUCCCGGCUCAACUGGGAGGGUGCGCCGAAUACUGAAUGACUCGAGUGUGGGAGAGGUGAGUGGAAUUCCUGGUGUAGCGGUGAA
rnacentral:rRNA from 1 species